rnacentral:lncRNA from 1 species
UUUCUUUCUCUUUUCCUAGGGUUUUUUAUUUUUGUAUCCUUAGUUGUAGAUUUUACAUUUCCCAGCAACUUUUGUUCUUGUUCUAGUUAUUCUUAAUAUUAGUUAAGUUACUUAUUACUCUCACUUAAGUUUAUUUUCAUUUUUAGUCAUUGUACCUUGGCUGUAAAACAUUUUUAGAUUUAGUUUAAUGUAUUUCAGUUUCUUUUACUUUGUACUUGUUAAAGUUUGUUCCUUU